rnacentral:rRNA from 1 species
UGCAGCAGGCGCGAAAACUUUACAAUGCUGGCAACAGCGAUAAGGGAACCUCGAGUGCCAGGUUACAAAUCUGGCUGUUGAGAUGCCUAAAAAGCAUUUCAUAGCAAGGGCCGGGCAAGACCGGUGCCAGCCGCCGCGGUAACACCGGCGGCUCGAGUGGUAACCGUUAUUAUUGGGUCUAAAGGGUCUGUAGCCGGCCGGAUAAGUCUCUUGAGAAAUCUGGCAGCUUAACUGUCAGGCUUUCAGGAGAUACUGUCUGGCUCGAGGCCGGGAGAGGUGAGAGGUACUUCAUGGGUAGGGGGGAAAUCCUGUAAUCCUUUAAGGAUCAUCAGCCGCCAAGGCGACACAUCAGAAGCCGCGCCACUGAUCGGCCGCCGCGCCCUGUGUCGCCC